GAUUAAUGGAGAAGGUGUACAUUUCUGGGUGCUGCUGUACAAAAUAACCUUGGCGCUAAGACUGUUGUAAGUCUAUGUCGAGGUAUGGGAUUUAUGAUCACCUUAGUG